rnacentral:rRNA from 1 species
AGAGUUUGAUCCUGGCUCAGAACGAACGCUGGCGGCAGGCUUAACACAUGCAAGUUGAACGGGAUUGUUAAGUAGCUUGCUAUUUAACAAGAGAGUAGCGCACUGGUGAGUAACACGUGGGAACGUACCUUUUGGUGGGGGACAACAUCUGGAAACGGAUGCUAAUACCGCAUAAGACCUGAGGGUGAAAGAUUUAUCGCCGAAAGAACGGCCCGCGGAAGAUUAGGCAGUUGGUGGGGUAAAGGCCUACCAAACCUACGAUCUAUAGCUGGUCUGAGAGGACGAUCAGCCACACUGGAACUGAGACACGGUCCAGACUCCUACGGGAGGCAGCAGUGAGGAAUAUUGGGCAAUGGGGGCAACCCUGACCCAGCCAUGCCGCGUGAGUGAAGAAGGUUUUCGGAUUGUAAAGCUCUUUCGGAUGUGACGAUGAUGACGGUAGCAUCUAAAGAAGCCCCGGCAAACUUCGUGCCAGCAGCCGCGGUAAUACGAAGGGGGCGAGCGUUGUUCGGAAUUACUGGGCGUAAAGGGUGUGUAGGCGGUUAUGUAAGAUAGCGGUGAAAUCCCGGGGCUUAACCUCGGAAUAGCCGUUAUAACUAUGUAGCUAGAGUUAUGGAGAGGAUAGCGGAAUACCCAGUGUAGAGGUGAAAUUCGUAGAUAUUGGGUAGAACACCAGUGGCGAAGGCGAGUAUCUGGCUGUCAACUGACGCUGAGGCACGAAAGCAUGGGGAUCAAACAGGAUUAGAUACCCUGGUAGUCCAUGCUGUAAACGAUGAAUGCUGGUUGUCGGCUUUAGGGUCGGUGACGAAGUUAACGCGAUAAGCAUUCCGCCUGGGGAGUACGGUCGCAAGAUUAAAACUCAAAGGAAUUGACGGGGACCCG